rnacentral:rRNA from 1 species
CCUACGGGAGGCAGCAGUGGGGAAUAUUGCGCAAUGGGGGAAACCCUGACGCAGCAACGCCGCGUGAGUGAGGAAGGACUUCGGUCUGUAAAGCUCUGUUAAUGUGGAAAAAUGGUAGUUGGUCUAAUAGGCCGAUUAUUUGAUGGUACACAUAGAGGAAGCACCGGCUAACUUCGUGCCAGCAGCCGCGGUAAUACGAAGGGUGCAAGCGUUGUUCGGAUUUAUUGGGCGUAAAGCGCGCGUAGGCGGACCUGUAAGUCAGAUGUGAAAUCUCGGGGCUCAACCUCGAAACUGCGUCUGAAACUGCAGGUCUAGAAUCUCGGAGGGGGAAGGGAAUUUCGCAUGUAGGGGUAAAUCCGUAGAUAUGCGAAGGAACACCAGAGGCGAAGGCGCCUUCCUGGACGAGUAUUGACGCUGAGGCGCGAAAGCGUGGGGAUCAAACAGGAUUAGAUACCCUGGUAGUCCACGCUGUAAACUAUGAACACUAGGUAUUGGAGGAUUUGACCCCUUNAGUGCGUAGCUACGCGUUAGUGUUCCGCGUAGGGAGUACGGUCGCAAGAACUAAAACUUAAGUAGUAAGUUGACCGGCGUGAGACGUACGACCGACGGACGACCGACGAGGGAGGUUAGG